GAUGAACGCUGGCGGCGUGCCUAAUACAUGCAAGUCGAGCGAACCACUUCGGUGGUGAGCGGCGAACGGGUGAGUAACACGUAGGUGAUCUGCCCAUCAGACGGGGACAACGAUUGGAAACGAUCGCUAAUACCGCAUAAUGUUAUCGAGCGGCAUCGCUUGAUAACCAAAGCUUUAUGUGCUGAAAGAUGGUCUCGCGUCUGAUUAGCUAGUUGGUGAGGUAACGGCUCACCAAGGCGACGAUCGGUAGCCGACCUGAGAGGGUGAUCGGCCACAUUGGAACUGAGACACGGUCCAAACUCCUACGGGAGGCAGCAGUGGGGAAUAUUGGGCAAUGGGCGCAAGCCUGACCCAGCAACGCCGCGUGAGUGAAGAAGGCUUUCGGGUUGUAAAGCUCUGUCCUCAAGGACGAAGGAAGUGACGGUACUUGAGGAGGAAGCCCCGGCUAACUACGUG
rnacentral:rRNA from 1 species